rnacentral:lncRNA from 1 species
AUGUGCUCGGGGCUGCACCUGCCCUGCAUGAGACCCCCAGUGCCCCCUGUUAGAGUAGGAUCCCACCUCUCCCCGUCCUGCAGAGCGAGCGCCAGGGGCCUGGGCCCUGCUUCCCUCCAGGKAUCCCGCACGGCUCCCCCCUCCCACAGGUGCAGCCACGCUGAGCCGCUUGGAGCCGCRGGCCCGGGGCUGCCGGGGGCACAGCACACUGCUACCAGCCACUGCACGCCAGAGCAGGGGGCUGGCGCUGGGGGGCACGGGAGGGGGUCGGAGAGGUGGGUUGGAUGCUUUGACACCACCGCGUGCCGGGGGAGGUGGUGCCRGCAGAGCUUGGACCUGCUGCCUGCCCAGGGCGUCCCCGAGCCGGGGUGCUCGCAGCCCUCCAGGCGCCCCAGGCACCGUCGUUKGGGCCCCGAGGCGGCUGGGCUGGGUGCUGGGAGCAGGCAGCCAGGCUGGGACCUGUGGGUUCGGAUUUUCCCAGGGCUGAUCCUGCCCUGGCAGAGUUGGGUGGCAGAGCCGGGCUCACGGGGCCCGGAGGGGAGCAGAUGGGAUGCUGCAGGGCCAGGCGCCUGGCCUGAAAGCCAAGGGAGGUGGCAGGGAGGUGCCGAGGCACCAGCCCGGUCGUGCCCCGAAAAUGCUGCCCGUUGCCCUCUGCGGCCCUGCUGUGCUGGGGGCCAGGACGAAGGCCAGCUCGGUGCCAGGAUUUUGGGGAGGCAGCGGUGGCGGCAGAUCAGGCUGAGUGCUGGAGGGUUUGGGGGAGCCACGGUGCUGUUUGGGGCGCCCCGGGGCUGGGACGUGGUGUGCGCGGAGCCCGGCAGUGCGCRGGUCCUGCUGGCCCCGGGGUCCCCGGCGUGUGGCCCUGUCCUGGCCCAGGCUGGCUUCGGCGGACGUGAUGCCUCGUGCUCUGCCUGCCACCCCCAAACCCUCCUGCCCGCGUCCCUCGGCCCCUGCUCCCCUGCCAGCUUCUGCCCCCAGGCAGGGCCAGGGCUGCCAUGCUGGCGGUCCUGCCUGCUGCAUGAACCUGGCCGCUGUGUUUGUCCGUGGGGGUGCGUGCGUCCAUCUGUCCGUGUUAUCCAUAUCUCAGGAAAUAAACCUCUGCGCACCCAGCCCGGCUGCUCGGCGCUCUGUGGGGGCUGCGGGAGCCGGGGGGGGGGCAUGGGGCUGGGGCCGCAUCUCGGCCAGCCGCUCUCCCCACGGCGCACCCCCGGGCAGCCCCACGCGUCAGCCAAGGUCACGGUGCCGCGGUCUAGUGACAUAAACUUUAUUUCUCUCUUUUGGCACAAAUAG